rfam:Schistosoma rodhaini strain Burundi genome assembly, scaffold: SROB_scaffold0012198
AUUCAGCUGACGAGUCCAAGGUAGGACUAAACAUGCUUCCUGGAU